GAUGAACGCUGGCGGCGUGCCUAAUACAUGCAAGUCGAGCGAACAGAUCAGGAGCUUGCUCCUUUGACGUUAGCGGCGGACGGGUGAGUAACACGUGGAUAACCUACCUAUAAGACUGGGAUAACUUCGGGAAACCGGAGCUAAUACCGGAUAACAUAUUGAACCGCAUGGUUCAAUAGUGAAAGGCGGCUUUGCUGUCACUUAUAGAUGGAUCCGCGCCGUAUUAGCUAGUUGGUAAGGUAACGGCUUACCAAGGCAACGAUACGUAGCCGACCUGAGAGGGUGAUCGGCCACACUGGAACUGAGACACGGUCCAGACUCCUACGGUAGGCAGCAGUAGGGAAUCGUCCGCAAUGGGCGAAAGCCUGACGGAGCAACGCCGCGUGAGUGAUGAAGGUCUUCGGAUCGUAAAACUCUGUUAUCAGGGAAGAACAAAUGUGUAAGUAACUGUGCACAGCUUGACGGUACCGGAUCAGAAAGCCACGGCUAACUACGUG
rnacentral:rRNA from 1 species